AAUCUCAGUUCGGAUUGUAGGCUGCAACUCGCCUACAUGAAGUUGGAAUCGCUAGUAAUCGCGAAUCAGAAUGUCGCGGUGAAUACGUUCCCGGGUCUUGUACACACCGCCCGUCACACCAUGGGAGUCGGAAAUGCCCGAAGUCAGUGACCCAACCGCAAGGAGGGAGCUGCCGAAGGUGGAGCCGGUAACUGGGGUGAAGUCGUAACAAGGUACC
rnacentral:rRNA from 1 species